GGAAAGCUCAAAUUUGAAAUCUAGCACUUCGGUGUUCGAGUUGUAAUUUGAAGAUGGUAACCUUGGGUUUGGCUCUUGUCUAUGUUCCUUGGAACAGGACGUCAUAGAGGGUGAGAAUCCCGUCUGAUGAGAUGCCCAUUCCUAUGUAAGGUGCUAUCGAAGAGUCGAGUUGUUUGGGAAUGCAGCUCUAAGUGGGUGGUAAAUUCCAUCUAAAGCUAAAUAUUGGCGAGAGACCGAUAGCGAACAAGUACAGUGAUGGAAAGAUGAAAAGAACUUUGAAAAGAGAGUGAAAAAGUACGUGAAAUUGUUGAAAGGGAAGGGCAUUAGAUCAGACUUGGUGUUUUACGAUUAUCUUCUCUUCUUGAGUUGUGCACUCGUAUUUCACUGGGCCAGCAUCGAUUCGGAUGGCAAGAUAAUGGCAGUUGAAUGUGGCUUCACUUCGGUGGAGUGUUAUAGCUUCUGCUGAUAUUGCCUGUCUGGAUCGAGGGCUGCGUCUUUUGACUAGGAUGCUGGCGUAAUGAUCUAAUGCCGCCCGUCUUGAAACACGGACCAAGGAGUCUAACGUCUAUGCGAGUGUUUGGGUGUAAAACCCGUACGCGUAAUGAAAGUGAACGUAGGUGAGAGCUCUUUUUUGAGUGCAUCAUCGACCGAUCCUGAUGUUUUCGGAUGGAUUUGAGUAAGAGCAUAGCUGUUGGGACCCGAAAG
rnacentral:rRNA from 1 species